rnacentral:rRNA from 1 species
GUCCACGCCGUAAACGAUGUCUACUAGCCGUUGGGCUCCUUAGAGAGUUUAGUGGCGCAGCUAACGCACUAAGUAGACCGCCUGGGGAGUACGGCCGCAAGGUUAAAACUCAAAUGAAUUGACGGGGGCCCGCACAAGCGGUGGAGCAUGUGGUUUAAUUCGAAGCAACGCGAAGAACCUUACCUACUCUUGACAUCCAGAGAACUUGUGAGAGAUCACUUGGUGCCUUCGGGAACUCUGAGA